UGAGGCCCAGAGGGGGAGAGCCCAGAGUGACAAUGCCAAUUAGGGCUAGGACUGGGUCCCAGGUCUCCAGCCACCACAGUGCCCUGCCUCUGCUAGAAUCAAAACCCACCCACCAGAGGACAUGCACUUGAGGCCAGUGUCCAGAGUCACGCCGCCUCCGCAUGCUCCCCGCUCCUCUGCCACCCGCCCUCCCUGCACGCUUGUCUGCCUGAAUUGCCUCUUUGUGUGCCCGUCUCCUGGAGCAGGCUCGGCAAUUUGCAUCUUUGCUGUUCUCCUUUUAAAAAUGACAGAAAAACACUCCGCAGAGUGGAGCUUGCCCAAGCGGAGCUUCUGCCGACAAAAACAGGGGCACAGAAGUCAGCUUGACAUUCUGCCAAGUGUGGCCCCUCCUGUCUCCUCCUCCAUGCCAAGAAGUAGACUUUAAUCAAUAAGUUUCUGAGAGGGGGCAGUGAGGAAGAGAUUGAAGGAGAAAAAGCACAGAUCUUCUCACCGUGCACAAUUUAGCAAACAUUUCUAUGCACAAAUUCUUGUGCAGGAGUCAUGGAGAUCAAUGAACACACCCUUUAGCGCUUUCUGCUGUCAGUUACAUGGCUCACUCUCCAUUCACAGACAGAACAGAGGAAUUCACUGGAAAGGAGAACCACUUCACAGCAACGUUUUACAAGAAGCCUGAUGGUGGGAUGGAGCCCCUCAUUCAUAUUAAUGAGACAUGCAUGGAAGUGGCAAUGAGCAUGUGGAGUGUGGCUAAAAGAAAUGUGGUUCUUCACUUGGAGCUGAUGUGAAACACAGGCAAUCUGUUGGCCUACUGAGAGGAACUUCUUUUAAAAGCCAAGAACAAGAAUACCACCCGAAGACAUCUGUUCCUCUCAUCCUUUAGUGAAGUGCAGAUGGAGAUUCCUACGUGGUUUUGUUGUCAUCAAUACCUUCAAGUGUUUCCUUCAGAAAAUGCUUUGGUAGAGAGUUUAAUACAGUAGGGAGGAAGUUUUUAGGUUUUCUCAUAAGUGUUUACCAAAAGAAGAAAGAAAAGAAUGUUCUCUCUUCUAAUAGUCAUGGCUACACUCACUGGAAUUUCUUGAAUGCGGCUUCACUUACCUGGUUUCCUCCCCAGCUGUGAAUAUGGUUCCCUGGAGACACGGCUUUGAGAAAGCGAGUGGCCAUUUUGAAGAGGCCCACAUGGCAAAGAACUGGGGUGGCCUUCAGCCAACAGUAAGCUAGGAGCUGAGGCCCUCAGUCCCAUAGGCCUGUGGACAUGGAGUUCUGUCAACAAACAAAUGAACUUGGAAGCAGAUCCUUCUCCUGUUGAGUCUUCAGAUGAGACCCAGCCCUGACUGACAACCUGGAUGGCAGCUCUGUGAGAGAUCCUGAAGCAGAGGACCUAGCAAAGCCAGCAAAGUUUCUGACCCAAAGAAACUGUGAGAUGAUAUGUAUUGUCUCCAGCCACUACAUUGUAGUUAUUUGUUACACAGCAAUGGAUAACAAACACAGAAUGUUAAAGAAGUAUUUUUAUGAGACUUUCAAUAGCUAACAUUAAGAUGUAACCAUCAAAAGAAUUAACCUUGUAAUUCAGAUGUUCAUUGUGGGCUGUCACUCACCAUGGAAGCUCAUGCAAUAAUGCUGGAGAAAUUAAAAAUGUCUUGUGUGACAUCUGGUAGAAGUUUAAAAGUAUAGACAACCAUCAUUAAAAAAAACUCAUUAUAACUUUGUUUAAAACCUUGGCCCUAGCAUUCAAAUAUUAAAAUCUAAAAUAGGCUUGGAAUUAAGGUCUAUGUCAGAUAUCUCUGUCAAAGCCCACAUAUUUUAAGAGUUGCUAAAGCUACAUACAAUACUAUGGUGAGCAUUUCAUGCCUAAGUGUGAGAAUUGUAUUUGAUGCAUAUUAAUUGGUAAAAUCUAUUAGCUAGAUACUUAAUAAGAGAGAAGACUGAAGGGAUUCAAAAACCAGUAAAUAGAGAUUGCUAAUUAAGAAAAAUAAUCUGACUCUUUUAUAGGUUUACAUCUUGUAUUACUACCUAAUUGGCUCACUGUUUUGUUUUGUUUUUAUUUGGCAGUUGAAAGAGCCUGUAGACAUUUUAAAUCUCUUAAGAAUUUAUGAUUCAUUUGGUGAAACAGUAGCUGCUAGACUUGUGGAUGUUAAGAACCAGGAAAAAUGGAAAUUCAAAAACAAAAAUAGGUAGGUGAAUGAAUAGGUGAUUGAAUAUACUGCCACAGACAGUAAACUUUAUUUUGUCAAGCUAGGACAUUAAACUAAAAAACAAAAUCACUGUAUGCUAUCAUCAUUAUUUUAUAGAGAAAGAACAAUUCAACCUCAACAGAAAAAUAAUAAUUUCAAAAUUAAAAAACAUACCUUUAAUUUCAAUAAAGCUUUUUUUUUUUUUUUUUUUGAGACGGAGUCUCACUCUUUCACCCAGGCCGGACUGCAGUGGUGCUAUCUCGGCUCACUGCAAGCUCCACCUCCUGGGUUCACGCCAUUCUCCUGCCUCAGCCUCCUGAGUAGCUGGGACUACAGGCGCCCGCCACCGCGCCAGGCUAAUUUUUUGUAUUUUUAUUAGAGACGGGGUUUCACUGUGUUAGCCAGGAUGGUCUCGAUCUCCUGACCUCGUGAUCCGCCUCCUCGGCCUCCCAAAGUGCUGGGAUUACAGGUGUGAGCCACCACGCCCGGCAAUAAAGCUAUUCUUAAGAAAUA